UAUCGUCGUUGGGUGGGAGGACCCGAGAUAGCCAAUCAGAAGGCCCAGACUGGCGGUCCAUGAACACCCAAUGACAAAGCGGGAGAGAUGGGCGGGGUCCGCAUAGCCUAUCACAGUGCGGCAGGGCAGGCGUGAUUCCCCAGUACCCAAUCACAAGGCGGCUGCUGACGGCCCCUUUGCGGCCGGGGCGAACCGCGGAGGCUGCACUGAUUGGAGGAGAGGGCGGGGCUCCGAGGGGCUCCUGUCACGCUGACCUGUAACUCUCCAUUAUUAUUGAUGGAAAUGAUUUUCGUCAGUUUGGGGCUGUGUGGUGAGUUUGAUGUUCACUAACAUUUACUGGUUAAAAAACUAAUCCUGUUAAGCCUUAUUAUUAUGGUAUGCUGGUCCCCACACCAGACCCCCUACCAGAGAAAGCCCCUAACCCAAAGACCUCACAAUCUAAAUAACAAGCUGAGAAGACUAGAGGAGCCGAGAGGCCCAGAGGAAUGUGGUAACUUUCAGACGCCCUAAUCGUUGGAGCCCUGGGUGCCUGGGACCCCUGCAACAAGCGUGUGCUGCAGACCUGCAGGAUUGGUCAAUGCUACGCACAGCUCAUGAGGCACCUCGUGGUCUCGGACACCAUCCAAUGGUCCAGGGACAUCUACACUGAACACAUCACCGGCCACCGACAGUACCAGGAGGUGAGAGCUGGAGCAACAUCGUGUUUUGACUACGAGAAAGGGACUGAGAGACUUUUUUCCGUUGGACCGUACAAACUGGAACCAUAAACUCAAUGAAUGUUAAAUCUCAGCAAAUGAGGGUCAAUCCAUCCUCAUCAUCGUAUCCACUCAUUAUACUCCACACCUGAACAUAGCCAUUAUAUGAACAACAUACCCUCAUGUCCCAAUGUCUGUACUUUGACCCGUUAACCUUUUAUCCCCAAUCGGGGAUAUUGCAGAUUAUGUAUUCCUUACACCACCAGACCUUAAACCGAACUUUGCACCCCUUGAUGAUCUGUACGUUAUUCCCCGAUAACCAGAAACUUCUACACUUAAACUCUGUACCGUUCACUUUUUUUUUUAAACAUCAUCUUAAUAAAAUUUUCCCUCCUUC